GACGAACGCUGGCGGCGUGCCUAAUACAUGCAAGUAGAACGCUGAAGGAGGAGCUUGCUCUUCUGGAUGAGUUGCGAACGGGUGAGUAACGCGUAGGUAACCUGCCUGGUAGCGGGGGAUAACUAUUGGAAACGAUAGCUAAUACCGCAUAAGAGUAGAUGUUGCAUGACAUUGGCUUAAAAGGUGCAAUUGCAUCACUACCAGAUGGAGCUGCGUUGUAUUAGCGAGUUGGUGGGGUGACGGCUCACCAAGGCGGCGAUACAUAGCCGACCGGAGAGGGGGAUCGGCCACACUGGGACUGAGACACGGCCCAGACUCCUACGGGAGGCGGCCGUAGGGAAUCUUCGGGCAUGGACGGAAGUCUGACCGAGCAACGCCGCGUGAGUGAAGAAGGUUUUCGGAUCGUAAAGCUCGGUUGUAAGAGAAGAACGAGUGUGAGAGUGGAAAGUUCGCACUGUGACGGUAGCUUACCAGAAAGGGCCGGCUAACUACGUG
rnacentral:rRNA from 1 species